UGAGGUGUAGCUCAGUUGGUAGAGUGCUUGCCUGGCAUGCAUAACGUCCUGGGUUCAAUCCCUGGCAUCCCAU
rnacentral:tRNA from 1 species